CCUGAGAAACCUAAAAGUUCGAAAAGAGAGAUUCAACGUCGGCAUGUACAGUAUUCACGUGAGUAGUGAUGUAUGCACAUUUUCAUGUUAUUUUAUUGCUGUGCUAUUGUCGGCGUGCACUUCUCUCUUAGUAGGACGUCCCGACCCGUUGAGUCUUAGCCUACGGCCCAAACUUUAAUAUGAUCUGUAUUAAAAACCUUUGGUAUUAAAAACCUUUGGUGUUCUCCUGGCCUAAGUGCUCGACGGGGUAUUAAGCCGCAAUUUAUUUUGCGUCCUUGCGUCCGGCCUGUCGCAAGUUUAUUGACAAACUGUAUUAGCACAGACUUAGUGCUUGCUAUAUGGGCUGUGCUCUCGGACUGGCUUAUUAUAUACCUGUCAGGGACGCUUAGGCUUUGGGUACUCUCAGGACCCGUCUUGAAACACGGACCAAGGAGUCUAACAUGUACGCGAGUCAUUGGGUAUAUAUUUUCCAAACCUAAAGGCGAAAUGAAAGUAAAGGUUGAA
rnacentral:rRNA from 1 species